AUUUUUCAUUGAACUUUUGAUGUCGUCCCUUGAUCCAGAGGACAAAUUUGAAUUAAAUAUUUCGAUGUGAAAACUGUUAAGAUUUUAAAGUUUAAGAUUUUACUAUCAAUUGCAGAAAAUUUUAAAACCAAUGAAUUUCACAUGCACAUUUAUAAAAGCUAGAAUUGUGAUUGCAUAAUCAAGAACACAAUCAUGUACACAAAUACGACGAUGGAAGCUUUAAACGACCUUGACCAGCUACGUGAAUAUUGAUCAGUCCAUUCAACGUUAUAGUACGCGUGUUCUAUUUUCGCUGGUGUGAGGUCGAAGGUUUGAAUUGACCAAUGAAAACGAUCGUUCCUUAAAGAGUUAAUCGAAUAAAGUUUGUUUGACUGAUUACGUCGCAAUACCUUUCGCUAAGCGUUACCGCAUAUGAG
rnacentral:lncRNA from 1 species